CGGCAUAGCUCAGUUGGUAGAGCACCUGAUUCGUAAUCAGUAGGUCGGUGGUUCGACUCCACUUGCCGG
rnacentral:tRNA from 1 species